rnacentral:tRNA from 1 species
AAAAAAUUAAACAAAACAUUAGUCUUCAAAACUAAAAAUAUUGUAUCCCAGUAUUCUUUG